rnacentral:rRNA from 1 species
CUUGGUUGAUCCUACCAAUCGUCAUAUGUUUGUCUCAAAGAUUAAGCCAUGCAUAUGUAAGUAUGAACUAAUUCAGACUGUGAAACUAUAAAUGGCUUAUUAUAUCAAUUAUAGUUUGUUUAAUGAUAUCUACUACUUGGAUAAUUGUAGUAAUUCUAGAGCUAAUAUGUGCAACACACCUCGACUUUUGGAAUGGAUGCAUUUAUUAGAUAAAAGGUCAACAUGGGCUUUACCUAUUGCUUUAAUGAUUCAUGAUAACUCAAUAGAUUGUACAGCCUUUGUGUAGGUAGCAUCAUUCAAAUUUCUACCUUAGCAACUUUUGAUGGUAAGAUAGUGGCCUACUAUGGUGGUGACGGGUGAUGGAGAAUUAGGGUUCGAUCUUAAAGAGGGUGCAUGAGAAAAGGCUACUACAUCCAGGAAAGGUAACAGGAGCACAAAUUACUCAAUCUUGACACAGGGAGGUAGUGAUAAUAAAUAACAAUAAUGGGCUUUAUAAUUAUGGUAAUUGAAAUGAGUACAAUUUAAAUCCUUUAAUGAGAAUCCAUUAAAGGGCAAGUUUAAUGCCUGUAGCUACUGUACUUCUAGCUCUAAUAGUGUAUAUUUAAGUUGUUGUAGUUAAAAAACUUCUAGUUAGAUCUAGAGUUAGGUCAUUUGGUCUACCUCCCAGUAAGCACUAGUCUACACAUCCAUACUAUUAGUGAUGCACUUUUAAACUUAACUAGCUAGGUCAUUCUUCUGAUACUAUUACUUUGAAACAAUUAGAGCCUAUGCUUGUAUACAUUAGCAUGGGAUAACAUCAUAGGAUUUCAAUUUUAUUGUGUUGGCCUUCGAGAUCGAAGUAAUGAUUAAUAGGGACAAUUAGGGGCAUUCAUAUUUCAUAGUCAAAGGUGAAAUUCUUGGAUUUAUGAGAGACAAACAACUGUAAAAGCAUUUGCCAAUGAUGUUUUCAUUAAUCAAGGAUGAAAGUUGAAGGCUUGAAGACAAUCAAAUACCAUCAUAGUCUCAACUAUAAUAAUACUAAUCGGGAUCGAUGGAUGUUACUUUUAGGACUCCACCAGUACCUUAUGAGAAAUCAAAGUCUUUGAGUUUUAGGAGAAGUAUGGUCGUAAGGCUGAAACUUAAAAGAAUUGAUGGAAGGGCACCACUAAGAGUGGAGCUUACAGCUUAAAUUGACUCAGAAUAAGAAAACUUACCAGAUCUAGACAUAAUAACGAUUAACAGACUGAGAGCUCUUUCUUGAUUCUAUGGGUGGUGGUGCAUGGUUAUUUUUUAUUGGUAGAGCAAUUUGCUAGUUAAUUUUAUUAAUGAAUGAGACCUUAGCCUGCUAACUAGUCAUGGCUAGCUUCUUAAAGGGAUUAUAGCCACUUAGGCCAAUGAAGUUUGAGCUAAUAACAGGUCUAUGAUGCCUUUAGAUGUUCUAAGUCACACACGUGCUAUACUGAUGUAUUCAACAAGUCUAUGGCCUUGGUCAAUGGGCCCAACCAAUCUUUGAAAUUCUAUAAUUAUAAGGAUAGAUCAUUGUAAUUAUUGGUCUUCAACGAGAAAUUCCUAUUAAGCAUGAGUCAUCAGUUCGGUUGACUACAUCCCUGCCUUUUGUAUACACCAUCUAUUGUUUCUUUUGAUUGAAUGGUCUGGUGAAGUAUUUGGAUCGCAAUGACAUAGAUGGUUCAUUACCCAUGACAUUACGAGAAGUCCACUGAACCUUAUCAUUUAAAGAAAAGAAAAGUUGUAACAAGAUUUCCAUAAGUGAACUUGCAGAAG